rnacentral:rRNA from 1 species
AAAUUGAAGAGUUUGAUCAUGGCUCAGAUUGAACGCUGGCGGCAGGCCUAACACAUGCAAGUCGAACGGUAACAGGAAGCAGCUUGCUGCUUUGCUGACGAGUGGCGGACGGGUGAGUAAUGUCUGGGAAACUGCCUGAUGGAGGGGGAUAACUACUGGAAACGGUGGCUAAUACCGCAUAACGUCGCAAGACCAAAGAGGGGGACCUUCGGGCCUCUUGCCAUCAGAUGUGCCCAGAUGGGAUUAGCUUGUUGGUGAGGUAACGGCUCACCAAGGCGACGAUCCCUAGCUGGUCUGAGAGGAUGACCAGCCACACUGGAACUGAGACACGGUCCAGACUCCUACGGGAGGCAGCAGUGGGGAAUAUUGCACAAUGGGCGCAAGCCUGAUGCAGCCAUGCCGCGUGUAUGAAGAAGGCCUUCGGGUUGUAAAGUACUUUCAGCGGGGAGGAAGGUGUUGCGGUUAAUAACCGCAGCAAUUGACGUUACCCGCAGAAGAAGCACCGGCUAACUCCGUGCCAGCAGCCGCGGUAAUACGGAGGGUGCAAGCGUUAAUCGGAAUUACUGGGCGUAAAGCGCACGCAGGCGGUCUGUCAAGUCGGAUGUGAAAUCCCCGGGCUCAACCUGGGAACUGCAUUCGAAACUGGCAGGCUUGAGUCUUGUAGAGGGGGGUAGAAUUCCAGGUGUAGCGGUGAAAUGCGUAGAGAUCUGGAGGAAUACCGGUGGCGAAG